AGGCUGCUGAGCCUUGUCGGGGAGCAGGGGACCUGUGGCUGAGUCCUGCCUUUUGCAGGCUGCCCCAGGACAGGGCACGCAGGCAAACACAGGGCUGGGCUCAAUGGGAUGGGGACAGAUUCUAGCUCAGUCAAUCAGAAUGUUCUCUAUUGAGAUAGUUUUUUGUUUGCGAAAAUCCUCAACUUUGGCGACCACCACGAGGUGCUUUAUGUUAUGGCGUGUUCUCCCAUGAGUGAGGCAUGGUUGUCCCAUCCCACAGAUGAAGAAGGGAAGUCACUUGCUUCACGGCCAGGGAAGGGCUCCAGCGAGACAUGGGCUUCUGAAAUUGGAGGUGUGUGAAGGCCCUGAGAGGCACAGGAUCUGCUGGAUGAUGCCAAGGUGACCUUGGUGGCCACAUGUCAAAGAUGGAGGUGCACGAAAUGGAAGGAACCUAGAUCCCUGAAUGACUGUGUGGAGCUGAGUCCCUGCAUUGGAUGGUGACAUGAGGGGAAAUGAGGCCUUGCUAUCUUGCCUGGUCUUGAAAUCCUGUGUCCAUGUGACCCUCCAACCUCAGCCUCCCAAGUAGCUGGACUACAGGUAUGGGCUGCUGUGCUUGGCUGCACUUUUAAAAUGGAAUGCUUUGAGGCAUGAAAGUUUUAAAUUUUU